GAUGAACGCUGGCGGCGUGCCUAAUACAUGCAAGUCGAGCGAACAGACGAGGAGCUUGCUCCUCUGACGUUAGCGGCGGACGGGUGAGUAACACGUGGAUAACCUACCUAUAAGACUGGGAUAACUUCGGGAAACCGGCGCUAAUACCGGAUAAUAUAUUGAACCGCAUGGUUCAAUAGUGAAAGACGGUUGUUCUGUCACUUAUAGAUGGAUCCGCGCCGCAUUAGCUAGUUGGUGCGGUAACGGCUUACCAAGGCAACGAUGCGUAGACGAGCUGAGAGGGUGAUCGGCCACACGGGAAGUGAGACACGGUCAAGACUCCUACGGGAGGCAGCAGUAGGGAAUGUUCCGCAAUGGGCGAAAGCAUGACGGAGCAACGCCGCGUGAGUGAUGAAGGUCUUCGGAUCGUAAAACUCUGUUAUUAGGGAAGAACAAAUGUGUAAGUAACUAUGCACGUCUUGACGGUACCUAAUCAGAAAGCCACGGCUAACUACGUG
rnacentral:rRNA from 1 species